rnacentral:snRNA from 1 species
GUGCUCGCUUCGGCAGCACAUACACUAAGAUUGGAAAGAUACAGAGAAGAUCAUCAUGGCCCUUGCGCAAGGAUGACAUCCAAAUUCAUGAAGCAUUCCAUAUUUUU